rnacentral:rRNA from 1 species
GUGGGGAAUAUUGGACAAUGGGCGCAAGCCUGAUCCAGCCAUGCCGCGUGUGUGAAGAAGGUCUUCGGAUUGUAAAGCACUUUAAGUUGGGAGGAAGGGCAGUAAGUUAAUACCUUGCUGUUUUGACGUUACCGACAGAAUAAGCACCGGCUAACUUCGUGCCAGCAGCCGCGGUAAUACGAAGGGUGCAAGCGUUAAUCGGAAUUACUGGGCGUAAAGCGCGCGUAGGUGGUUUUGUAAGUUGGAGGUGAAAUCCCCGGGCUCAACCUGGGAACUGCCUCCAAAACUGCAUGACUAGAGUACGGUAGAGGGUAGUGGAAUUUCCUGUGUAGCGGUGAAAUGCGUAGAUAUAGGAAGGAACACCAGUGGCGAAGGCGACUACCUGGACUGAUACUGACACUGAGGUGCGAAAGCGUGGGGAGCAAACAGGAUUAGAAACCCCGGUAGUCC